rnacentral:rRNA from 1 species
CAGCCGCCGCGGUAAUACGAAGGGGGCUAGCGUUGUUCGGAAUCACUGGGCGUAAAGUGCACGUAGGCGGAUUUUUAAGUCAGGGGUGAAAUCCCGAGGCUCAACCUCGGAACUGCCUUGAUACUGGAGAUCUUGAGUUCGGAAGAGGUUGGUGGAACAGCUAGUGUAGAGGUGAAAUUCGUAGAUAUUAGCUAGAACACCAGUGGCGAAGGCGGCCAACUGGUCCGACACUGACGCUGAGGUGCGAAAGCGUGGGGAGCAAACAGGAUUAGAGACCCCUGUAGUCCCUGUCUCUUAUACA